AUAAAAAAAUGAAGUCGAUAAUGAAACUCGGAAAGGGGUUCCGACACGUUACGUAGAAUAUACGCGCCCGUGAAUUGCAAGUCGCGCAGUUUCUGAUAGCGCGUUCGGAGCAGCGGUUGCGUCCGCGUGCCCCACCGAUAGACAAUGCGGCUGCGGGCAGCACCGUAAUCAUGCCGUAAUCCUCAAUGCGGAACGCAGCCGCAGUUGAACGAAGUGGACGCUAUACUGGAACAUUCCGAAACCGGCGGAUUAUGGAAGGCCAGAUUAUGGCAACGAUCAUUUUCCCUCUGUUUCCUUGCGUUUUUUUUUUUUUCUUUCUUGCAGACGAGCGGUUGCACCGAGUUGUUGAUCUCGGCGAUAACGGCUGUUGCGGUCCACUGGCGACGAACGAUGACGUACGGCGCACGAAGGAAAGACGCCUGGGCACAGCAGCGCAUGCGUCAACAGUUGAUAGUCGCGCGUAAAUUUUGAUUUAAGAAGCGGCCGCCGAGAGACCCGCCCUUCAUUUUGCGUUUCUCGCCGCAGCCGCCCGUGUCAGCUGAAGCUCUGCAUCGUAGCGUAUAUGUUCUGGCAGCGAUUGUCGACCACAUCAACGACCCCGAAACACAGACAUGGGUUCCGGCGCGGGCUUCUGCCGUAUGGCGUGCUUCGAAGCUUUAAGUCGCGGCUGCACCAGUUACGGCAUGGACUUCUGCAAUUGCGGUUACGGGACUCUCUUCUGCUCCGGAGUUCUCGCACGGCCCGUUGGAGCUCCCGGAAUAUACGUAUGCGACGCGCGGCGGCCAUUGCAUCCUUUCUCGCGCACGAGCGGUCGCGCCUUGACGCCAACGACGCCGUUGCUGCCGACAAGUCUGAAGUCUCGCCUAUCGCGGUCUUUUCUUUUGUGCGCGUGUUCCCCCGAAAGAACUGACCCUGCCAUUCAACCGAGGGACAACGAGGCAACUGUCGUCGGCAGCUGCUUCAACUACCUUUGGAGGUGCAGCUCGUGCAACCAGGUGACAGUGGCACUGCCCUGAGGGACAACGCAGCUACUGUCGCCGCAGCCUCGCUUCGGCAUCUAAUCUCCGAGGUGGGAGUGUUUAGCUUGCGAGGGCGGCGCGGCCAUUAACUUCCUCAUCAAAACUGAUUGACGACAUUGGCAAAUUAUGUGCAGUUAACUCUGGUGCUUAAUUGGGCACGAGCUUCCUUGGACGGCCGCAGCCACAUCGGGUCGUCGCCGUGACGGAAGCGGAGAGGACGGGGUGGGGCGAUUCUAGCUUCAGGCUCAGCUAACACUAGGAAGGUAGCUGACGCUGCGCGCAGGCAACAGCUGGCAGGGGUCCUCUCUCUCGUUUGCGACACGGCCAUCGGCCCGUUCCGAGUGCCUAUCGCUUCCCGGCCACAAUUUCGCGUCCACGCGCGCGAAAGGGCGCGAAAUGUGGAAUCGCGGAAGUCGGUGGCAUCCGGAAUUAGCGUCAGGCUAACCAGUGGCGUAUUACUUCCAGUUCAUCCAGCUACGCUGAAGAACGGACGUUGCCUUCGGUCCGCGGCGCGGCGCGUUGCGGCCAAAGUACGUGCCCACUUUUUUUUUUCUUUUCCAUUCCUUGUGCCACGCUGUGUUUUUGUCGCUCGACACGCGGACCAUGUUUGACGAGUUCAUCUCCGCCACGGUUCGUGCGAUCACGCUUGUCACGGUGAGUACCUACUUUCCGGUUAUAUUUGUAAUUAGAACAGUUGCCCCUUUUUAUAAGUUUCAGGUACGCAUCCUAUAGGCCUCCGCAUCCAGCGCACUCCACUAACGUCCCUGCGCGAAGAAGUGUGACGGACUGUUUACGUUCAGUGUCUGUCGUACCGUGGCUGACCGCCUGUGCACUACUCCAGCCAUACAGCUACUGGUUUCUUGGCCAAUGAAGAAACCUGCACGACCAGCCCUGCAGUACGUCGACUGCUUUUCCCCAGACUUGGCCAUCAGUUCCGUGCGGCGGAUUUUCCUGCACCCUGCCGUGUCCCGGACGGAUGACGUUCAUCGCCUGUUCCGCGGCUGACCGCCUGUGCACUACUCCUCCAGCCACACAGCUACUGGUUUCUUGGCCAAUGAAGAAACCUGCACGACCAGCCCUGCAGUACGUCGACUGCUUUUCCCCAGACUUGGCCAUCAGUCCCGUGCGGCUGAUUUUCCUGCACCCUGCCGUGUCCCGGACGGAUGACGUUCAUCGCCUGUUCCGCGGCUGACCGCCUGUGCACUCCUCCUCCAGCCACACAGCUACUGGUUUCAUGGCCAAUGAACAAACCUGCACGACCAGCCCUGCAGUACGUC